rnacentral:lncRNA from 1 species
UCAAGAAAAUUUUUAUAUUGUCACACUGAAUCAAAAUAACAAAUUAUCCACAUGAUCCAAGAUUUAGAUUCACUACCUAAUAUAUUCUCUUUUCACACGUAUGGCUCCGGCUGUCAGGCACCAUAUAUAUAUAUAUAUAUAUAUAUAUAUAUUAGAAGAGUAUGAUCAGCCGUUUAGUUUCACAAUCUAGCAAUUGAUUUAAAUUAUAAAAGAACAAGAUUUAAAUUAUCUUACAACAGCUUUAAAUUUGCAAUCUUUGUUUUUGUGGCAAUCAUUUUGCUUCCAAGCAGUUGCUCCUUGGCCAUCGAAAGUUCCACCGCCAGAUAAGGUGAGCCCAUCAAUGCGCUCAAAAGCUACCCAAGUAUCUUCUUUUGGGAGUUCCUUGAUAUGUUCCGGAGCCUGCAGUGUGCCUUGGAGCUGAAACUCAAUAGGACCUUUGCAUGGUCCUUUGAAAGUUGCCCCUACAAACUUGUAUGUCCCACUUGGAACAACAAUUUUACUUGCCGAUGUCGAUGCACAUGCAUCUGUCCAAGCUUUGCUCAAAGCCUAAUUAAAAACAUUGUAUAAAAAUUAAAAAUUGAAAUGAUUCGCUUUAAUUACCAAACAAUUCUAGAAUGGAAAUGAUUUUCCGCUUAUUCAUACUUUUUCCCAUGCAUAUUUAUUUCUUACUUUAAAUUAAACAAAUCAAAAGAAAAAUAAGAAUGUUCAAAAUCUAAAAAGUGCGUACGGAAGUAAUUUCUCUUCUAGUUAGAAAUAUUAGUUUAGCAUUUCAAGAAGAAUUGCAUAAGCAUAUAUAAUGCCUACCUGGGUUAUAUCAGAGUUUGCUUUUCCACCAUAAUUUGCACCUGUUACAUCAUAGACACCAGAUUGGGCAUUAGAUGAGGAUACUAACAACAAGAACACAAACAUUGACAAGAUAUUUUUCAGCUUCAAAUCCAUCUUGAGUUUUCAAUUCAGAAUGAGUUUCUUUCGUUUGGAAGUUUGAUGAAAACUUUAUUUUGGUUUCAUCGCAAUUUUAUACUUAGACUGGAAAGCUUAACGUCCUCAAAUUAUUUAGCUAAUUACUAGCUAGUUUUAUGGAAGGUGCCUUACCCCCAAAAACCGUGCACGAAAAAAACUAGCAGCCGUUGAAUAGUAAAAAUAUCUCAAAAUUUCUUCAAAAGAAAGGCUUAAUUACGAGCUUGAAAUUUCCUCACUCAGAAUAUUUCUUCCAAGAAACAAGGAAGUAGCCCCGAAUUAAGAUGUUUAAUUGCAGUGUAGUUCAAGAAUUAUAUCCUAUCAUUAGUAAUUAAUUAAGCUGCUUAUAGAACAUCAAUUACCACUACUAUGUAUGGCCCUAGGUUAGUUCAGUAUCAAUUACCACUUCAACAUAUAGUUCUCCAUGCUUUCUCCCCAAGUCAGUACUCGAAUUGUUUCUUCUAAGCAAACCCUAGUUGCUGCAGCCACCAGCACCCUGAUCAACGCCAACUCCACCACCGCGACACACCUACAACUUGUUUUAACUUUACGGCGUGACUUGUGGGAAUCCUCACAAUAAUAGUUUUAAACCUUAUCAUAGCAUGGAAACAAUACAAAGACAAAUUGGUACAUCAUUUUACUUGCUAGAUGGCACAUCUCGGUGUCUCCCUUUAUAGUCUACCUCUUCACUGACCGCAAAUUGGUACAUCACUUUACUUGCUAGAAAGACAAAGACAAGAGCAUCUACUAUGACGUACUCAUGCAAGUCUCGUUUUCUUUCUAAAGGAGUUUCUCUCCAUGACUAACGUUGUCGCUAACGGUUGUACCAAGAUCCCAUUCGUCUGAAGAAUUAGAAGCUUGCGUGCCAGUGCUUCUGCCUCGUUGGUGUUAAUUUGUCAAGGAUUGAGUGGCGGCUGCUGUGGUUGAGGAUUUGAGGGAUGGAAUCGUGGGGUUCAAUGUGGCAGUGCAGGGUCGUUUUAGGGUGGAAAGAGGAUCGCAUUCCGUGGCUAGGCUUGCAUGCAUCAAAAUUUCAACGAAAUAAAUAUUUACCAAUACAUUAAAUUUCGACAUGCCUGAGCUUAUGGGGCAUGCACCGAGGGUCGCACAAAUCGUACACGUGACAUGUGACUCAUCAAAACCAGACAAGUCAUCAAGUGACAUGUGUUGACACUUGACGGAAAGUAAUUAAUGAAUUAUCUUUAUUAAUUCUUUGAUUAAUUUCAAUAUCAAAACAAAUUAAUUGAUUUAAAAUGCCAAAUCAUGAAAAAGCCCAAAAUUAAGUCUUGUGUUUCUUUCGUCAAUAAAUCAAGUCCACAAUCAAGACCAAAUCCAACAGUAGGCAAGACAUGGAAAGCCUAUAAAUACGUGGCUCUAAGACAAACCCUUGUGGCAUCCGUUCAUUCAAGAUUAAGUCAUCGCCACCAUUAAAUCAACAACAUCCACAUUUUUCAAACCAGGGAUUGAAAAAGUGGAUUCAAGUUUUGUAAAAAGAUUAUAACCCUAAAUUUAUUAAUACAAAUUAUUACUUUGUAAAAGUGUUCAUGUAUUAUUUGUCUAUAAAUCUUGAGUUUACAAGGCUAUUGAGGGUUGAUUGUGAUUUUGUCAGGGUUGAGAUGUCGAACAAUGGAACUGAUGGAGCCUUAUGUGGUGGAUCUUGUGUGGUGGAUCAAGUAAAUGUGAUGUGGAGGGUAAUUAAAAAUGAUCGUUCAUUUUUAUGUACUGCUUCAAACUAUGCCCGUGCUACUUUAUAUAUGUAUUACUCUUUUGACUUGUGAUGUGGCUCAAUUGAUUAAAAACAUCUACCCCAUACACCCGAGGUCAUAAGUUCUAUUUUCACUUCCCCCAAUGUUUCCUUGCCUAAAAAACUCUUGUAAAAGUCUAGGGUUCUAGUAAAUAAAUGUGACUACUUAAGUCCAUCAGUUACAAGGAAAUAACUAUCGUUAGAAGGUCUAAACAGACUAAACAGAGUGUCAUUGUAGACAUCGAAAUUUCGUAAAUAAAUGUUGACCGAUAAAUCAAAGUGUCAACGCUCAUGUAUUACAUAAAUUUUACACGUAGCGUGUGACUCAACGAAAAUUGAAAUGAGUUGGAAAAGUCAUCAAAUAGGACACGUGUCAACGCCUGGCAGAAACGACUUAUUUCAUCUGGAAUAUUAUAUUCAAAAUUAGGCCUUGGAAAAUUCUAUAAAUACAAGCCCAAUUUCAUUCAUUUGGGGAACCAAUUCAUAUUACACCUUGAAGCUCUGAAGCUCUGAAGCUCCGAAGCUCUCAAGCAUCCAGGUUCCCGAAGAAUCAAGAAAGCUCUCUUCGUUCUUCGUUCUUCGUCCAUCGCUCUUUCAAGAUCAAGCCCCGACGGCCCUUGAAGAAAGCACCAUCGUUCAUCAUCCGUUCUUCCAAGAUCAAGCCCCAACGGCCCCUUUGGAUCGACAACAUCAACAAAUCCGCUCAUCCGCUGUUCAUCAAGCCCAAGCCCCGACGGCCCUUGAAGAAAGCGUUCAUCGUUCAUCACUGUUAUUCGAGAUCAAGCCCAAAAGCCCUCGAAGAUCCGUUCAAGCCCAAAAGCUCUCGAAGAUCCGUUCAAGCCCAAAAGCUCUCGAAGAUCCGUUCAUCACUAUUCUUCGAGUUCAAGCCCAAAAGCCCUCGGAAAUCCGUUCAUCACUGUUCUUCAAGAUCAAGCCCAAAAAGCCCUUGAAGAUCCGUCAAUCACCAUUCUUCUUCAAGAUCAAGCUCAAAAGCCAUUGAAGAUCCGUUCAUCCUCGUUCAUCCAAGAUCAAGCCUCGACGGCCCUUGGAUCAAUCGCACAUCCCACAAAUCAACACCUUACGGAGAUCGAAUCAGAGGAUCAAAUUAGAGAGAGAUUGUAACCCAAAAUCAUCAAAUACAUAAUAUUUGUUUGUGCGCGUUUGUUCUUGUCUCUUUCGUUUCAGGAAUUUUCCGUGUUCACAAAUUGGCACGCCCAGUGGGACGAUCUCUGCCUCUCAUCUCUUUCUCCGUUCAAGAAAUUCAAGCACACUUCCAAAAUUAAUGGCAUCAAGGAAGGCUCAAACUGUUCCCGCAACCGGUGCAAAGAACAAAAGCGUCCUCGUCGCAACUGGUGUCACUUUGGGCAUCACGACUCGAAGCAUGGCAAGAGCUACUUCUGCCGCUCUUUCACCUCUGCAUCAAACUCUGCCAAGGGGAACAAAAGCACCCAAGGCACGAGCCUUUGAUCACCUUAGCCUCACUAAGGGCACCAAGGGGGGAAAGCCCAAGGAAAACACUCCGAAUCCAUGCUCUCCGAUGCCGAUUCAAGCGACAGUUCAGCCAUGCAAGUCAUGACCAUUGGAGCAACUUCAAUCGAUGAAGCAGCUGGCUCAAAUGAAUGAAGCAAUCGCAAGGCUAACCCGAACUGUGGAAGAAAAAGACUUGCAAAUUGCAGCACUAGUCAACCGACUGGAGGCGCAGGACGGCGAUAAACCCGACCCAGAAGAUGAUCCACUAAAGGGAGGAGCUGGCGGAGACGAAGAACCCCCGGUGAAGAAAAAUCGAUGGGAAGCCGGAGCCAGACCAAGCAGCGGCACUCAUGGGAUCUCUCUUUCUAUCCAGCAGCUGCAGGAGAUGAUCACCAACACCAUCAAGGCACAGUACGAAGGGAGCUCACAUACCUCCUUGUUCUACUCGAAGCCCUAUUCCAAGAAGGAUUGAUGCCCUAAAAAUGCCGAGGGGAUAUCAACCACCAAAGUUCAUGCAAUUUGAUGGAAAGGGAAACCCGAAACAGCACGUUGCCCACUUCGUUGAAACUUGCAACAACGCAGGAACCGAAGGGGAUUACCUCGCCAAGCAGUUUGUGCGCUCGCUGAAAGGAAACGCCUUUGAGUGGUACACAGACCUAGAGCCUGAGUCCAUCAACAGCUGGGAGCAGUUAGAGCGGGAAUUCCUCAACCGCUUCUAUAGUACCCGCCGCACUGUGAGCAUGCUAGAACUAACGAGCACAAAGCAGUGGAAGGACGAGCCAGUCAUUGACUACAUCAACAGAUGGCGCACUCUAAGCCUCGACUGUAAAGACAGGCUCUCGGAAACCUCUUCAAUCGAGAUGUGCAUCCAAGGCAUGCAAUGGGGUUUGCAAUACAUCCUUCAAGGCAUUAAACCACGGACCUUCGAGGAAUUGGCCACUCGCGCUCAUGACAUGGAGUUGAGCAUCGCUCAUCAUGGGAAGAAAGAACCGAUCGCCGACUACAAGAACGACAAAGUUCUUGGGACAAAGGUGGAAAAGGCUGCAUGGAAACCCACCAAGGAAGCGAUGACGGUCAACACAGCUCCCGUCAAAAUCUCCACACGAGGCAAGGCGAUUCAAACCGAAGCUUUUCGUGAUCAAGAGAUGCGUAGACGCACUUUGAAGGAGCUUGAGGAAAAGAUUUAUCCAUUCCCCGACUCUGAUGUAGUUGCCAUGCUGGAUGACCUGUUGGACAAAAAGGUGAUCAGUUUGCCUGAGUGCAGACGGCCGGAAGAGAUGAAUCGUACCGACAGUCCAAGGUACUGUAAAUUCCACCGCUUCAUCAGUCAUCCGACAGAAAAAUGUUUUGUGCUGAAAGAUCUCAUCAUGAAGUUGGCUCAGAAAGGAAUCAUCGAGCUAGAUCUGGACGAUGUGGUGAAGUCAAACUAUACCACCUUCACUUCUGGCUCUUCCGACUCAAAGUUUUCACCUCAACCGUUGGGGGCAUCCUCCAAGACAAGCAAAGUUGAAGGAUGGACUCAAGUCACUCCUAAGAAAUUGCACAAGAAGCAUACGUCUCCUCCACAAGUCCGCCAAUCGGAAAGGGGGCAAAGCAGCUCUUGUCAACCUUCGAAGCAACGUGAACGUGUUGAAGAUGAUGAAAUUUCGACAUAUAGAUCGUCCAUCCCCAUCACGAUGCGUGAUUUCUUGCCCGAAGACUUCUUCAAUCACUCGGUCAAGGCUCCUUGCUAUGAAGAUUGUGAGGAACGCCUCUCCAAAAUUGCUUGACAAAUUCACCAAAGCUCAUUGUCUGUAAGAGCCUAAACUGCAAGACACAAGGCUCCUCGCCCGCACGAGCCUAAACUGCAUGGCACUAUGCUCCUUGUUCGCACGAGCCUAAACUGCACGAACCAAAGCUCCUCGCCUGCACGAGCCUAAACUGCAUGGCACAAUGCUCCUGGUCUGCACGAGCAUAAAAGGCAACACCAACGCUCCUUGUCUGCACGAGUUGAAACUGCAAACGACACCAACGCUCCUUGCCUGCACGAGUUGAAACUGCAAACGGCACAAAAAGAAAAUACCAAGAAAAAAAAAAUAUGCAUGUAUUUGAACUACGUUACGACUUGAUCUCUUCUUUAGAGGGGUACGUAGGCAGCUUGAAUAUUCGAAAUUUCGAGUUCAAUCACAUCAAAAUCAAAAGAAUAAAUGUUUUAUUAAAGAAGGUCAAUUUCAUUACAAAUUUAUUUUUGUUAAGAAAAUUUGCAAUUUUCUUUGUACAAAAUUAAAUUACAGUUUCUUCGAAAAAAAAUUUUUGAAUACAUAUGUUAUUAUGUAUUUAGAAAAAAAAAAAAAAAAAGAAAAAAAAAAAGAGAAAAAAAAAAAGAGAUACAAUUUCUUCAAAAAAAAAAAAAAAAAAUACAUAUGUUAUUAUGUAUUUAGAAAAAAAAAAAAAACAAAAGAAAAGAAAAAAAAAAAUAUAUAUAUAUAUAUAAUAUAUGAGUGUCUCGGCCCAGCAGCAAAAGGGCUCAAGCCACAACGGGCCCAAACUCCAGCUUGUCUUCUUCCUCAUUUCUCCUUGGCCCACAGUGCAGCCCAGCAGAGCACACAACUCCAACCCCAUCUUCUAAUCACUCACUCAUCCCCACUGCCAGGACACCCAAAAGCAUUUCCCUUCAACUUCGUCGGCCUCCGCCGCCUCAACGACGUCGUCCUCUGGGAACUCCUCGUCGUCAAAUAACUACUUCAGUGCUGCUUCCGGGUCCACCCCAAGAUUUCCUAUGCCGUCUUCCACUCCCGUUGACCAUUGCCUCCGUCAAAUGCCGCACCAGGAGAUCGAUCUGCUGAAGAUCGUGAAGAGGUUUUUUGGAUCCGAAACCGGACUGUGGGCUCGGGUUGCAGCUACCGCUCAUUGAUCGCCUGCCCGAUGUGCUCAAGAACAGGCUCGAUCGCUCCAGGACGCCUUCGAUCUGGCAAUCCGGUCCCACGACUACGGCUCCCAUUACCAGGGCGUGUACCCGGUGAAAUGCAACCAGGACCGGUUCGUCGUGGAGGACAUUGUCAAGUUUGGAUCGCCGUUCCGGUUCAGACUGGAAGUCGGGUCGAAGCCGAAGCUCACUCCGUACGGUAACAGCCAUGUCUGUACAGACCGCCGCGUCUGCCGUAUCAUCGCCAGACCAUGCUGCCGAGAAAUGGUUUUCGGUGCCGGAGCUCCGACUCCGAGACCACCGAUUCACUGUGCCCCUUGACUACUCCGUCGAUCGUACCGCUUCGCCUAAGAUCUCAGUCUUCGCUCGCGAAGUUGUUUCAGUUAGUAAAGAAGAACAACAAUUGCCAUACCUAUUUAUAUCUACAAGGUGGACUUGGAUCUGAGGCCCCCGACCAACUAAAUCCAGUGGAUGGAUAUGUAAAGCAGGUGAAGAAUUUCGUGUUAUGUUGCUGGAUCAGCGAGGAACAUAGUUUAUUCGAGUACACCUUGUUUCUGAUGCUGCACCAUGGAUACGUAAAGCGUGUAAGAAGACGCUGGGGACGACAUGGGAUUUCUUUAGGAUGAGGGACGAGUAGAUGAAGCACCCCGUGCUUUCCAAUCAGCUCCACCACGCCACUCCUGGCCUCGGCAUCGCUCUCGUUACAUUCAGCGGUGAGCAGAUCUACGACCGCCUCAUAUCAAUGUUUUGAGGCACCAAAUAUCAACGUUUUCAGAAACCCGAGAUAGGGAGAGGGCAAGAGACACACAUGGCGAAGAUCCAACGGUCGCCGGAAGAAUUUCAUAGCUGUCGAGGCGGAGUUGGCGGCAGCCAAAAAGGCGUCUACAAAUAAGGAGAGUGGAAAAUCCUCUGUUCUUUUGGAUGUCAAGCCUUGGGACGAUGAGUCUGACAUGAAGAAGCUCGAUGAGGCUGUUCGGAGUGUCGAGAUGGAGGGUCUCUUCUGGGGCGCAUCGAAAUUGGUUUCCGUUGGUUACGGGAUCAAGAAGUUGCAGAUCAUGCUCACCAUUGUCGAUGACCUUGUUUCCGUCGAUGACCUCAUCGAAGACCAGCUUACCGUUGAACCCCCGCAUCGGCAACAUCAGCACGGGCAGUGCACUUCUGGACUCAAAGCUCAGCAACAGCGGCGGCGGCACCGGCAGCUUCGAGGUCGAGUCUCGGAAGCUCCCUUCCUCCAAGUACAAAAGCGUGGUCCCGUAGCCAAACGGACGCCAGGGCCCACAACGUUGCUGCACAACGCUUCCGUCGCCACAACGCCGGCAUCAACUUCGAGUCUUCAUCUACUGAACCCAGCUCCCGGUCUUAGCACUCCGCCUCGCCAAGUCCACCUUCAUCACUGCAGGAUCGUUCCCAAGCAGAAGUUGGUCCCCGCAAGGUUCGAGGUAAGGAUGUACUUGGGAAUGCCGUGGUGGCUGCUCUAAACACACUAUACAUCAAACAAAAAAAAAACUUGUGAAUGCAUGGGGCAACCCAAUCUCAAACACCAUCGAGCGGGACUCCUUCUCCGUCAUCUCCUGCUACUUCCAAAGCUGCACCGCUCCUCUUUGCCCAUCUUCCACCGCAGCUGCCAACGACUUCAACGACCGCCGUCAAACGACUAGCCGGUCGUGAAGCUCGAAGCACCAUCUUCUCCGUCCUCCUUGCUCCGCUGCCUGCAAAUUUCUUUACCCAUCAUCAACAUUUAUACAAAAAAGAUAUAUUAAAAAAAUAGGAUGGUGGAGCAAAGCAAAGUGGUGCAUCUGGCACCACGUGAAAAAAAAAGAGGAAUGGUGGAUCAAAGAUGGGGUACAGCCCCAUGGCAGAUCAAAAGUUUCUGGUGGUGCAUGGGCACCAUGUGCAGAAAGAAAGAAAGCAAAAAAAAUAAAUAAAAAAAUAAAUAUUGUAAAAAAAAAAAAAAUAAAUAAAUAAAUAAAUAAACAUAAAAAAAAUAAUAAUAAAAAAAAAAAUGAUGGAACUUGGUGCAUCCAGCACCAAAAGAAAAAGAAAAAAAAAAAACAAAUGCAUAGAGAGAAAUAGAAGGUCCAUUUUAUUUAUUUUUCUGGAAAUUAUACAUAAAAUUAAAAAAAAAAAAAUCAAAUCAAAUCAAAUUUACAAGAGGGGAUAUUCAAGGACGAUCAGGUGGCGCCUCACAACUCGGCAGAGCUCCAGGAAGAGAAGGCGUCAGAGGUUGGCUGUUUGAAGCCUCAGCAGUCGGUACAGCCCCAGAAGACGAAGGUAAAUGCUGCUGGAACAAACCCACAAACCUCCGAUGAUCAAGUAAGAUCUGACCAUCAGAUUCCUGCAUCUGGUCAAUUUUCCUCUUCAUGUUUGUGGCAUAGUUGUGUGCAAGCUUUGUGCAACUGUUUAUUCUCAUGCUUGAGCCCUCUGAUCUCCUGUUUGAGACUCAUCACUUCAGCCGCCAACGAUUCAACUUGACGGGUUCGAGCAAAUAGGCGUUGGGCCAUGUUGGACACAGAACCCGCACACUGCACACUUAGAGCCAGGGACUCCUUAACGGCCAACUCAUCAGACCGCCUGGAAAGUAGUCUGUUAUCUUUGGGAGUGACAAGGUUCCGGGCCACCACCGCAGCGGUCAUAUCAUUCUUCAUCACCGAAUCCCCAACAGUAAGAGGACCAGUAGGGGAUAUGAAGGAUGGGCGCCAUAUGUUAUCUGGAGAAGACGGGACUACCUCUUCACCAAGGUUCAAAUCAAAACGACGGUCGGAGGGACCAGACAUUUUCAAAGUGUUGAAGGAAGAAGAGAUCGGACAAAUCAAGAUCUUAGAAGUACAAGAGGGAAGUUUUCACAAGCGAAAAUUCAAGUGUGUUUUGAAACGAACUGCAUGCCUCUAUAAAAAAUCAGCACUCGACGGGAUUUCAGAGAUCGAAGAGGCGAGCUCAGAAUUCGAAGAGGCCAUUCAAAAAUCGAAGAGGCAAGCUCAGAAAUCGGAGAAGCAUCUUGCUUUUCCAGACGUGUCGGCACCCGUCACACGCAAACUCAGCGUUGCGGAAAUCACGGGUAAUUUGUCGAAGCGCCAAUCCCAGAUAUCGAAGAGGCGCCAGUCUUUUUCAGCCGAGUCAUCACCUGUCAUAUGCACACUCAACUUUGCGCAAAUCACGGGCAAUUUGUCGAAGAUUUUCGGUGAAAGAGAAAGCACGUGAAAUUUUACUGUUCAAUCACGCGUUAGUUGCCGACACGAGUGAAAGAAUAGUACCUCUACAAGUAUUAAAGAACUUCCUAUAACUGUCCAUCUUCACCCUCCAUAGCAAGGCAGACAUACAAAACCUUUCUUCAUCUCUGAGAAUGCCUUCCCAACGAAGCCUCUUGAGUUACCCAGUGUUCCUUAUUCCUUGGGGUACCUCUGCAAGCCAAUGACUCCAAAGCAAAAGUAUCUCAUAUCACCAGGGUAGAAAGCAAGAGUAUCUCAUAUCAUGCGUUCUCCCUGUCCUUUCCUUUAUCCUUGUUCUUACCUACAAAGACAAGGAUAAAGAAAACAAUAUGCCGGAACUUCCACUCAAACUCGGGUAAGGAACCGACUGCUUGGAACCCUUCCCUGAUUGCCUACCUAGCACUGCUCUCGAGUACUCGCCUUCCACUGCUGCUGUACUUUCAAAGAAGCUGCCACAUCUGCCUGAAGAACAGAUAAGGCAAGUGAAAAUGAUACCUUGCAGCAUGUGGAGACAAGGUGCAGAAGGAACAAGCAGAGAAGAAAGCGGUCUGCACGGUCAACUCAGCAGAAGGAGUCCGAACUGAGGAACUCAAGAAGCUGCCAUAUCUGCCUGAAGAAACAAGCAGAGAAGAAUGCAGCAUGCACAAUCAACUCAGCAGAAAGAGUCCGAGAUGAAGAACUCGAGAAGAUGUCGCAUCUGCCUGAGGACGAUGAACUUGUUUUGACCCUCAAAUUCUUGGGUCGACUUACUAGGCGUUGUGGGCUGCACGUGCCGAUUCACCACCCUUGAAUCGAAUCCUUAAAGAUCAAGUCACCAACUGGAAGAAGAGUUCAUCAAUCUUGAAGAUCAUACCGUUGACCAAACUGCUCAGGUGUGAAUUAGAAAGAUUGAACAAAGAAACAGGUUGUCACCUUUACCUCGUGCCUGCUUGCCAUGUGUUCCGAGUCAACCUUCAAGAAUCAAGCCUCAACGGCCCUUGAAGAAGUUUCCAGCCAAAUUCAAGAUCAAGCCUCGACGGCCCUUGAGGAAAUCACAAGUCCGAUUCAAGAUUAAGUGUCUACCACCCUUGAAUCAAAACCUAGUUCAAGAAUAAGCUGUGGAAAAUCAACAAUUGGAGGAAUCCAGAAAAUCCUUCCAACCCAGUUCAAGAUCAAAGCUGUGGAAAGUCAACAAGCGCAACAAAAUACGUGCCGAUUCAUCCAUUACCAAAGCCAAAGAUCAUCUACCACAUGAAGCUCCUUGUGGUCCAAAUUUCAACCUUCAAGAUCAAGCAUCGACGGCCCUUGAAGAAAUUUCAAACAACAAUUCAAGAUCAAGCCUCAACGGCCCUUGAAGAAAUCUCAAGCCCAAUUCAAGAUCAAGCCUCAAUGGCCCUUGAAGAAAUCUCCAGCCCAAUUCAAGAUCAAGCCUCGACGGCCCUUGGAUCGACAUCUACAGUAAGGGACUUCAAAACGCAUCUCCUACACGUGACAAGCACAUGUAUACGACGUGCCUUGAAGUGGGGGCAUUUGUAGACAUCGAAAUUUCGGUAAAUAAAUGUUGACCGAUAAAUCAAAGUGUCAACGCUCAUGUAUUACAUAAAUUUUACACGUAGCGUGUGACUCAACGAAAAUUGAAAUGAGUUGGAAAAGUCAUCAAAUAGGACACGUGUCAACGCCUGGCAGAAACGACUUAUUUCAUCUGGAAUAUUAUAUUCAAAAUUAGGCCUUGGAAAAUUCUAUAAAUACAAGCCCAAUUUCAUUCAUUUGGGGAACCAAUUCAUAUUACACCUUGAAGCUCUGAAGCUCUGAAGCUCCGAAGCUCUCAAGCAUCCAGGUUCCCGAAGAAUCAAGAAAGCUCUCUUCGUUCUUCGUUCUUCGUCCAUCGCUCUUUCAAGAUCAAGCCCCGACGGCCCUUGAAGAAAGCACCAUCGUUCAUCAUCCGUUCUUCCAAGAUCAAGCCCCAACGGCCCCUUUGGAUCGACAACAUCAACAAAUCCGCUCAUCCGCUGUUCAUCAAGCCCAAGCCCCGACGGCCCUUGAAGAAAGCGUUCAUCGUUCAUCACUGUUAUUCGAGAUCAAGCCCAAAAGCCCUCGAAGAUCCGUUCAAGCCCAAAAGCUCUCGAAGAUCCGUUCAAGCCCAAAAGCUCUCGAAGAUCCGUUCAUCACUAUUCUUCGAGUUCAAGCCCAAAAGCCCUCGGAAAUCCGUUCAUCACUGUUCUUCAAGAUCAAGCCCAAAAGCCCUUGAAGAUCCGUCAAUCACCAUUCUUCAAGAUCAAGCUCAAAAGCCAUUGAAGAUCCGUUCAUCCUCGUUCAUCCAAGAUCAAGCCUCGACGGCCCUUGGAUCAAUCGCACAUCCCACAAAUCAACACCUUACGGAGAUCGAAUCAGAGGAUCAAAUUAGAGAGAGAUUGUAACCCAAAAUCAUCAAAUACAUAAUAUUUGUUUGUGCGCGUUUGUUCUUGUCUCUUUCGUUUCAGGAAUUUUCCGUGUUCACAGUCAUAUUCCAACAACUCGGAUGUCCUUAUCAUUUUUAUUUUUGUUAAAAAAAAUGAAAAAGUUUGACAGUUAACCUGUAAAUGAAGUAUUUUAAAUUCAAAUCACAUAUGAAAAUUCACUACUAGCUAGGGAGACCUGGAGUAAUGAACACAAAAUAUCUUUUGUCAUGUUAUUACAAAGAGAGGUUUGAACAAAAAACUCAACCGUCAACCCACGCUCAUCUCAUGCUAUUUGAGAAAAGUCUUAUGGGUAACUUAUUGACAACGCACGACAAAAACAAACAAAAAAACUUAUUCACAACGAAUAAUUGGCUUGAUUUUAAGAAGAUGUAGCACAAGCAAGAGGCUUUGCCACGUUGUUAAUGGUGGGCUUAACAUGUUUACAUUUAGAGGUAAUAGAGCCUUUCUCUCCAGUGUAUGUGAGAUCAAUGUCACUCGGUUUCACAUUCUCACAUGGCAGCUUUCCACUACAUAAAAGCUUGAUACCAACUGGGCCUGAAGAUGGGACUUGGAUUGUCUGCCCUCCCAUUUCGGUGCCUUCUCCGUGCCCUCCUGUUUUGUGUGAUCACGGUUAAGCCACGUUAAUAUUUUAUAUUAUUUUUUUAUAAAAAUAAUAAAACAAAAAGAAAUAGUAAUAUAAAAUGUUGACGUGGCUUAACCGUGACCACAAAAACAGAAAGGCAUGAGGAGGGCACCACAAUUAGAGGGCAGACAAUCCAAAUCCCUGAAGAUGAGCCCUUUAUGUUCUUAAAGCUGACAUCACUGAUCUUAAUUUUGGAUGAAACCUGCACACAAUAAUAGUACCAUUAAAGUGUAAUUUUAAAGUGUAAUUUUAAUUACAAAAAUGUUUUAAUUAUAAAUAUGCCAAAAAAGUAAUUAAAAAUUCAAGUGUAAUUUUUUGGAAAACCACACAGGAGUUCUUCCUAAAGAAAUGUACUUCUUCAUAAAGUGCUUUUAAGUUUUUAUAUCAAACAUUGAUAGAAGUGUUAUUGGUCGACAUAAUUUUUUUUUAAACCUUUCAUAAACAAUCUCAAAUAGGCUGGUGAACUCAAGUAUCCAUUCAAAAUAGUGGAGAUUAGUGUCAAUAGAUCAAACGGUUAUCAAUUGUAUUCUAUUCUUCUAGCUAGAUUAAGUAUUUGACUAAGUAAUAAAGAAACAAUGAUGUUAAUUUGGUGUAAAAUGGUAUACCUCAGGUGUACACAGCUUAUGUGGGCAAUACUCUUGGUCUAUGACGACAGGGUUUUUAACAUUGUCCAUGAUAAUAUCCUCAAAGUGAACAUCUGAGACAACAGUACCCUUUGCAGGUAGGGAUGGGCAAAAUAUUCAUGGGUAUGGGUAACCGCGGUUACCUGCCCAUUUAAAGUUGAUGGUUAUGGUUAUGGAUAACCGUUUAAACAAAUAAACAGUUAUGGGUAUAACCGUUUAUCCAUGAAAUUUAAAUGGACGGUUAUGAGUAUUAUCCGCGGUUAUAACGGGUAUCCAUCGGUUAUGGUUAUUUGCAGGUGAAGCAGGCCAGGUUUUGAUCCUCACACCAUUAUCUGUAUUUGUAAUCGUGCAGUUCUUGAUAAAGAUUCCGGACACAGGUUCUUCAUCCUCAGUCCUUCCGAGGCUUCCGAUGCUUAUGCCGUGGCCUGGUCCGCAUUUAACGUUGGUUACAUGGAGUUGGUUGGUUCCGUGACCUAUAGAGAUGCAAUCAUCCCCAGUUCCAAUGGUUGUAUCUCUGAUGUUGAUCCCAGAUGAACGUCCCAUAUGAAUUCCUUUUGUAUUGACGCUCUCUUGAGGCGCUGAGACAGUAAAAUCUUAGAAUACCAGAUUUUUGCAACCCAUAAGAUUGACGUGGGAAUUUUUUGCUGUCUUUUCUUGUUAUAUCUCGAAUUAUAGAAUUGGUAACAGAAUUGAACCUCAAAUUCUGCCAAAGUGUGAAAACAGUUAAAACAUAUUAAGACAAGUAAUGUCUCUUGCAAAAGUUAUGUUGUCAGGAGAAUUUUUUUAUAGUCAGAAUGAAUCAAAAUCGCAGAUUAUCCACAUGAUCCAUGACUUAGAGUCGCUACCUAAUAUAUACCCUUUUCACAUGUAUGGCUCGGGCUGUCAGGCACCAUAUAUAUAUAUAUAUAUAUAUAUAUAUUCUUAGAAGAGUAUGAUCAGCCAAUUAGUUUCACAAUCUAGCAAUUGAUUUAAAAUAUAAAAGAACAAGAUUUAAAUUAUCUUACGAUAGCUUUAGAUUUGCAAUCUUUGUUUUUGUGACAAUCAUUUUGCUUCCAAGCAGUUGCUCCUUGGCCAUCGAAAGUUCCACCACCAGAUAAGGUGAGCCCAUCAAUGCGCUCAAAAG